rnacentral:rRNA from 1 species
AAAAGCACCCCGGAAGGGGAGUGAAACAGUUCCUGAAACCGUGUGCCUACAAGUAGUUAGAGCCCGUUAAUGGGUGAUAGCGUGCCUUUUGUAGAAUGAACCGGCGAGUUACGAUUUGUUGCAAGGUUAAGCGGAAAAAGCGGAGCCGUAGCGAAAGCGAGUCUGAAUAGGGCGCAUAAGUAACAGGUCGUAGACCCGAAACCAGGUGAUCUACCCAUGUCCAGGAUGAAGGUAAGGUAAUACUUACUGGAGGUCCGAACCCACGCACGUUGAAAAGUGCGGGGAUGAGGUGUGGGUAGCGGAGAAAUUCCAAUCGAACUUGGAGAUAGCUGGUUCUCUCCGAAAUAGCUUUAGGGCUAGCCUCGAGGUAAAGAGUCAUGGAGGUAGAGCACUGUUUGGACUAGGGGCCCUUCUCGGGUUACCGAAUUCAGAUAAACUCCGAAUGCCAUGUACUUAUACUCGGGAGUCAGACUGCGAGUGAUAAGAUCCGUAGUCGAAAGGGAAACAGCCCAGACCACCAGUUAAGGUCCCCAAAUAUAUGUUAAGUGGAAAAGGAUGUGGGGUUGCUUAGACAACCAGGAUGUUGGCUUAGAAGCAGCCACCAUUGAAAGAGUGCGUAAUAGCUCACUGGUCGAGUGACCCCGCGCCGAAAAUGUACCGGGGCUAAACAUAUUACCGAAACUGUGGAUGAACCUCUUUAGAGGUUCGUGGUAGGAGAGCGUUCUAAGGGCGGUGAAGUCAGACCGGAAGGACUGGUGGAGCGCUUAGAAGUGAGAAUGCCGGUAUGAGUAGCGAAAGAAGGGUGAGAAUCCCUUCCACCGAAUAUCUAAGGUUUCCUGAGGAAGGCUCGUCCGCUCAGGGUUAGUCGGGACCUAAGCCGAGGCCGAUAGGCGUAGGCGAUGGACAACAGGUAGAGAUUCCUGUACCAGUGCUAAUUGUUUAACCGAUG